UAGGCGUAAACGAUACUCGCUAGGUGUCGGCCACGGUGCGACCGUUGUCGGUGCCGUAGGGAAGCCGUGAAGCGAGCCACCUGGGAAGUACGGCCGCAAGGCUGAAACUUAAAGGAAUUGGCGGGGGAGCACAACAACGGGUGGAGCUUGCGGUUUAAUUGGAUUCAACGCCGGAAAUCUUACCGGGACCGACAGCAACAUGAAGGCCAAGCUGAAGACUUUGCCGGAUUAGCUGAGAGGUGGUGCAUGGCGUAGUCGUGU
rnacentral:rRNA from 1 species